rnacentral:rRNA from 1 species
UACGUAGGGGGCAAGCGUUGUCCGGAAUCAUUGGGCGUAAAGCGCGUGUAGGCGGCCCGGUAAGUCCGCUGUGAAAGUCGGGGGCUCAACCCUCGAAUGCCGGUGGAUACUGUCGGGCUAGAGUGCGGGAGAGGCGAGUGGAAUUCCUGGUGUAGCGGUGAAAUGCGCAGAUAUCAGGAGGAACACCAAUUGCGAAGGCAGCUCGCCGGAACGUAACUGACGCUGAGAACGCGAAAGCGUGGGGAGCAAACAGG